UUUGACUCUUUCUGUCUUCCCCUCCCCCUCCAAGAGCCUCCCUCCAGCGGAACAGCAACUAAACCGGACUGGGCAACAGGUUGCAGAGGCCAAACCACCAACGUCCAUCUGCCUGCAGGCAGGCAGGCUUGACUUCCUCCCCCAGACCACUCUUCAUGGCUUCCCAUCUGGCUGAUGGCAUGAAGCCUGGGGACCUAGAAGAGCUUGUGAAGGGAGAAGGAUGGGAAGAAGAGGAAGAGGAAGCCCAAAUUUCUCUGUAGAUGAUGUGAGGAUUCCACAUCUACAGAGCUGAAUUCAGCAUCUGCAGCUCAAGAAUUCCUUAAAUGUCCAGAGAACAAGCAGGGGGCCUUGCCCUGGCCAUGCUUUCCCUUCUUGGAGCCAUCCCAGGCUGUGGAGAUGUGGGUGUGAGGAAGGCGGGGUCUGAGAUUCCAGCCAGGACUGUGGGUGGAAGGGUCACCUGCUUCCCAUACCCAGGGCAGUCACACCCUGACCUCGUUUCCAGAGAUGCACCCAGGGGAGGUGGUGAAAGGAGCAGAGUUGUCAAUCAAGGAUCUCCCAUCCCAUUGCCACACCAGCAUGCAUCUUUGGGGUGGCCUUGGUGGCCCUGAGUGUUGCUUUAUCUACUGGAAUAUAGAGAUCAUACUUAUCUGAGGCUGA